rnacentral:rRNA from 1 species
UGGAGAGUUUGAUCCUGGCUCAGGACGAACGCUGGCGGCGUGCCUAAUACAUGCAAGUAGAACGCACAGGAUGCACCGUAGUUUACUACACCGUAUUCUGUGAGUUGCGAACGGGUGAGUAACGCGUAGGUAACCUGCCUGGUAGCGGGGGAUAACUAUUGGAAACGAUAGCUAAUACCGCAUAAGAACAUUUACUGCAUGGUAGAUGUUUAAAAGGUGCAAGAGCAUCACUACCAGAUGGACCUGCGUUGUAUUAGCUAGUUGGUGAGGUAACGGCUCACCAAGGCAACGAUACAUAGCCGACCUGAGAGGGUGAUCGGCCACACUGGGACUGAGACACGGCCCAGACUCCUACGGGAGGCAGCAGUAGGGAAUCUUCGGCAAUGGGGGGAACCCUGACCGAGCAACGCCGCGUGAGUGAAGAAGGUUUUCGGAUCGUAAAGCUCUGUUGUUAAGGAAGAACGUGUGUGAGAGUGGAAAGUUCACACAGUGACGGUACUUAACCAGAAAGGGACGGCUAACUACGUGCCAGCAGCCGCGGUA